UACGUAGGUGGCAAGCGUUGUCCGGAAUCAUUGGGCGUAAAGCGCGCGUAGGCGGCCCGAUCAGUCCGCUGUAAAAGUCCAGGGCUCAACCCUGGAAAGCCGGUGGAUACUGUCGGGCUAGAGUCCGGAAGAGGCGAGUGGAAUUCCUGGUGUAGCGGUGGAAUGCGCAGAUAUCAGGAGGAACACCGAUAGCGAAGGCAGCUCGCUGGGACGGUACUGACGCUGAGGUGCGAAAGCGUGGGGAGCGAACAGG
rnacentral:rRNA from 1 species